rnacentral:rRNA from 1 species
AUUGAACGCUGGCGGCAUGCUUUACACAUGCAAGUCGAACGGCAGCACGGACUUCGGUCUGGUGGCGAGUGGCGAACGGGUGAGUAAUACAUCGGAACGUACCCAGUAAUGGGGGAUAACUAGUCGAAAGAUUAGCUAAUACCGCAUACGCCCUACGGGGGAAAGAGGGGGAUCGCAAGACCUCUUGUUAUUGGAGCGGCCGAUGGCUGAUUAGCUAGUUGGUGGGGUAAAGGCCUACCAAGGCGACGAUCAGUAGCGGGUCUUAGAGGACGAUCCGCCACACGGGAACUGAGACACGGUCCAGACUCCUACGGGAGGCAGCAGUGGGGAAUCUUGGACAAUGGGCGAAAGCCUGAUCCAGCAAUGCCGCGUGCGUGAAGAAGGCCUUCGGGUUGUAAAGCGCUUUUGUCUGGGAGCAAAUCCUUGUGGCUAAUACCCACCGGGGAUGAGAGUACCAGAAGAAUAAGGACCGGCUAACUACGUGCCAGCCGCCGCAGUAAUAC